rnacentral:lncRNA from 1 species
GUCAUGCUAAUCCUGCUCAUAUUCUACUGGUGACAGGAAGCGGAUUCAAGUCGAAUCGCCCUUAUCGAAGUGGGUAUUUUGCGGCAUCCAUCAAGCUCCAAGCUGGAUACACUGCAGGAGUGAUCACUGCUUUCUAUGUGAGGAGGAUUGAGCCUGGACAAAAUUAUAUUACAACAUUAAAAUGUUACCUUGCAUCGUUUGUUUGACAAUGCUGUUGCUGAAAUCGUUGGACUGCAGCUUUCUAAUAACCAGGUACAUCCUGGGUUCCAUGAUGAGGUGGACAUUGAGUUCAUGGGGAAUACUCCAGGAAAGCCAUACAGAUUGCAGACCAAUGUGUACAUCAGGGGCAGCGGCGAUAGUAGAUAUGUUGGGAGGGAGAUGAAGUUCCACCUUUGGUUUGACCCGACUGCCGAUUUCCACAACUAUGCCAUC